GAUGAACGCUAGCGGCAGGCCUAACACAUGCAAGUCGAGGGGUAGAGGAAGCUUGCUUCCUUGAGACCGGCGCACGGGUGCGUAACGCGUAUGCAAUCUACCUUUUACAGAGGGAUAGCCCAGAGAAAUUUGGAUUAAUACCUCAUAGUAUAUAUCAUUCGCAUGUUUGGUAUAUUAAAGUUCCAACGGUAAAAGAUGAGCAUGCGUCCCAUUAGUUAGUUGGUAAGGUAACGGCUUACCAAGACGAUGAUGGGUAGGGGUCCUGAGAGGGAGAUCCCCCACACUGGUACUGAGACACGGACCAGACUCCUACGGGAGGCAGCAGUGAGGAAUAUUGGUCAAUGGACGCAAGUCUGAACCAGCCAUGCCGCGCGCAGGAAGACGGUCCUAUGGAUUGUAAACUGCUUUUGUACGGGAAGAAACACUCCUACGUGUAGGAGCCUGACGGUACCGUAAGAAUAAGGAUCGGCUAACUCCGUGCCAGCCGCCGCGGUAAUAC
rnacentral:rRNA from 1 species